UACGGAGGGAGCUAGCGUUAUUCGGAAUUACUGGGCGUAAAGCGCACGUUAGGCGGCUUUGUAAGUAAGAGGUGAAAGCCCAGAGCUCAACUCUGGAAUUGCCUUUUAGACUGCAUCGCUUGAAUCAUGGAGAGGUCAGUGGAAUUCCGAGUGUAGAGGUGAAAUUCGUAGAUAUUCGGAAGAACACCAGUGGCGAAGGCGGCUGACUGGACAUGUAUUGACGCUGAGGUGCGAAAGCGUGGGGAGCAAACAGG
rnacentral:rRNA from 1 species